rnacentral:rRNA from 1 species
AGUGAACGCUGGCGGUAGGCCUAACACAUGCAAGUCGAACGGCAGCACAGUAAGAGCUUGCUCUUACGGGUGGCGAGUGGCGGACGGGUGAGGAAUACAUCGGAAUCUACUUUUUCGUGGGGGAUAACGUAGGGACACUUACGCUAAUACCGCAUACGACCUACGGGUGAAAGCAGGGGACCUUCGGCCCUUGCGCGAUUGAAUGAGCCGAUGUCGGAUUAGCUAGUUGGCGGGGUAAAGGCCCACCAAGGCGACGAUCCGUAGCUGGUCUGAGAGGAUGAUCAGCCACACUGGAACUGAGACACGGUCCAGACUCCUACGGGAGGCAGCAGUGGGGAAUAUUGGACAAUGGGCGCAAGCCUGAUCCAGCCAUACCGCGUGGGUGAAGAAGGCCUUCGGGUUGUAAAGCCCUUUUGUUGGGAAAGAAAAGCAGCAGGUUAAUACCCCGCUGUUCUGACGGUACCCAAAGAAUAAGCACCGGCUAACUUCGUG